CGGACUUAUAUCAAGACUUUAUCAAGUAUAAUGGAAGUAUAAUGGAAGUUCUAGUUCACAGCUAAUGAAUGCAAGUGGUUUCCUAGGCAGGUGCAAAUACUAACUAAAAUCCUAUGUUCUAGCAUGAUUUAAAGCCCCAAGCUCCAAAACCAUAAAUACUAUGCUUGUGCUGGGUGACCAACAAGUACUAAGGCUCAUUAAACUGACCAAUAAAGUUGACUUCAUCAAAAAGUUGUUGACUAGGGAAUGUGAUAUAACUAAGUGUAUGAUCAUAUAACAAAAAUAAGUAACAGAACUCCAGCAGUCUUUUCCCAAAUGUGCUCAAUUCCAGGUGUUCACAGUACAAUGUACCCACUUACUACUCUCAAGCUAGGUACAUCUGAAUUAUUGCACUUUGAACACCUGGAAUAAAGGCAUAUUUGGAUCAGAUGUGCAAGGGUUCAUUUCUGCUGAACUUUUUAUGAUAACAUAACCAAUUGUUUGAAGAAAAGCACAUCUGGUUGCUACAAUUGGUGCAUGGCUUUUUAGGAUUGGGUUUAGAAAUUAAAUCUGCCAGAUAUAACGGUGUAAAUGUAGUUGAUUAUCACAGUGCUGAAUUGCAUGCAAGACAUUCUUACAGGGACACUGUAAGCACCAUAACCACUUUAUCUCAUUCAAGGGAUUAUGAUGUCAGUAGUUGCUUAAUACCAUCCCACUGUUCAAUGUUAAACAUGUUUUCAAUUGAUUAAACCCUAAAUCAGGGUCUCUUGGUGCCUGUGGCUCCCCCACCCCCCUUCAUUCUAGGUAUGGCUAAUGUGAAGUGUAACUCAGCAUUAACCAAACCAACUGUUACAAUCUAUUGAGAGGUUGUGAGCUGACACUCUUAGCAUAUCACUGUCACUUGUCACUGGUCUGGCUAAUGAGAAAGCAUUGGCUCAAACUGCAGAGAGGG